GUGCCAGCCGCCGCGGUAAGACGUAGGGGGCAAGCGUUGUCCGGAAUUACUGGGCGUAAAGGGCGUGUAGGCGGUGCGGUACGUAGCGGUUUUAAGCCUCCGGCUCACCCGGAGGAGGGCGGCUAAACGGCAGCACUAGAGGGCAGGAGAGGUGCGCGGAAUUCCUGGUGGAGCGGUGAAAUGCGUAGAGAUCAGGAAGAACACCGGUGGCGAAGGCGGCGCACUGGCCUGGCCCUGACGCUGAGGCGCGACAGCGUGGGGAGCAAACGGGAUUAGAUACCCCGGUAGUCCACGCCGUAAACGAUGGAUACUAGGUGUCGCGGGGGUCCACCUCGCGGUGCCGGAGCUAACGCACUAAGUAUCCCGCCUGGGGAGUACGGCCGCAAGGUUGAAACUCAAAGGAAUUGACGGGGGCCCGCACAAGCAGUGGAGCAUGUGGUUUAAUUCGACGCAACGCGCAGAACCUUACCAGGACUAGACGGGAUCGUGAGCGCCGCGAAAGCGGCGGGCCCUUCGGGGAGCGAUCGUCAGGUGCUGCAUGGUUGUCGUCAGCUCGUGUCGUGAGAUGUUGGGUUAAGUCCCACAACGAGCGCAACCCUUGUCGUGUGUUGCCAGCGGUUCGGCCGGGCACUCACACGAGACUGCCGGUGACGAACCGGAGGAAGGUGGGGAUGACGUCAAAUCCGCAUGGCCUUUAUGUCCUGGGCUACACACGUGCUACAAUGGUCCCGACAACGGGCCGCGACGGCGCGAGCCUGAGCGAAUCCUUCAAACGGGACCUCAGUUCGGAUUGCAGGCUG
rnacentral:rRNA from 1 species